GGCGAACGGGUGAGUAACACGUGGGUGAUCUGCCCUGCACUUCGGGAUAAGCCUGGGAAACUGGGUCUAAUACCGGAUAGGACGAUGGUUUGGAUGCCAUUGUGGAAAGUUUUCGGUGUGGGAUGAGCUCGCGGCCUAUCAGCUUGUUGGUGGGGUAAUGGCCUACCAAGGCGUCGACGGGUAGCCGGCCUGAGAGGGUGUACGGCCACAUUGGGACUGAGAUACGGCACAG
rnacentral:rRNA from 1 species